GCCAGCUGACUGGGUAUGGAGAUGAGGUGAUGAUAACUGUGGAGGACAGACACAGAGAGAAAUUAGAUACAGAACUGAUAGGGUUUACGAGUAAUACUUAAUCUAAGAAGAGCUGUAGCGUGUAUCACCAAGGAAGGCAGAAACAACAAUCCAGCGAAGAUGCUUGAUUGGAGUAGAUGACUAGCAGGUGAGCGCGGCAGGGGGGUGAUGAGGAAAGGUUGACCAGGUGUGUGUAGUCAGCUUGCAGUAGCAGGUAGGAGGAGAAGGAGAAAAAAAACAGAGGAAACGCAGAGAGAGGCGGAGCAACCAAGAAACUGACAGUGAGAGCAAAAUAGAAACUGGAAAAUAAAACAAACUCACAGCCAGCCGACCCCAACCAUCACAGAAUCCGUUAUGUGGGCAGCUGUUCUCCCCGUUUCUGUGUGCCUCUCUCCCCUUGUUUUGUCCCCACUGUGUCUGUGGUGUGUGUAUGUGUGUUUGUCCCCACUGUGUGUUGGGUGUCUGUAUGGGUGUUUGACUACUCUCCUGGAAGUAGGUCAAGGGGCGUGGCUGGGAAUCUACCUCUCUGCACAGCUGCUUCCAAUUCCACUCAGCAAACCUGCAGUAUAUAUUCUGGGCUUGGCUCUCCUUGGUUCCAAAUUGUUGCACCUACCAGUGUGACCUACACUGCGAGACCUGCUGCCGUGGUGUGCCUUGCUGCCAGUUCAAUCCAGUCCUUCACUCCAACAAUCUCGUUCGGAUUACUGCAUGACAGUUGUGGACAUUCCUCUGCCUGUCUGCCUCAGCCUCUAUCCAGCCCAGAGCCAACCUACCCUGCGUUUGCUUUCCUUGGACACCCAAAGAACUGAAUAUUCAUUAAAAAUAAUUUGUGUUAAUCAUA